rnacentral:misc_RNA from 1 species
GUUCUUUUUGAGGUGGAUACAUAUUUGAAAUUUAGUAUCCCUUUUGUCCAUGCAUGUAAACUGUUGGUUUAUUCACUCAAUUGUUUACAAAUGUUGUUUAUAAUUUUGAAUGCAUAUUUUUGGUUUUCAUAAUUUUGUAUUGCUGUAGCAGCACUGAUGUGGGCACUUGAACCAUUUUGGUGGUGUAAUUGUAGAGACUGUUUUGCAGUAGAGCAACA